rnacentral:rRNA from 1 species
CCUACGGGUGGCUGCAGUGGGGAAUAUUGCACAAUGGGGGAAACCCUGAUGCAGCGACGCCGCGUGAAGGAAGAAGUAUUUCGGUAUGUAAACUUCUAUCAGCAGGGAGGAAAAUGACGGUACCUGACUAAGAAGCCCCGGCUAACUACGUGCCAUCAGCCGCGGUAAUACGUAGGUGGCAAGCUUUAUCCGGAUUUACCGGGGGUAAAGGGAGCGUAGGCGGUGCAGCAAGUCAGAAGUGAAAGACCGGGGCUCAAAUCCGGGACUGCUUUGGAAACUGUUGAACUAGAUUGCAGGAGAGGUAAGUGGAAUUCCUAGUGUAGCGGUGAAAUGCGUAGAUAUUAGGAGGAACACCAGUGGCGAAGGCGGCUUACUGGACUGUAAAUGACGCUGAGGCUCGAAAGCGUGGGGAGCAAACAGGAUUAGAUACCCCGGUAGUC